CAACUAGAGAUGUGACAUUAUAAAAAUAACAGUAUUUGAAAUGCAAAACACAAAAUACCUAUUUCCAUUUUCUAUUUAAAUACUUUUUAUAGAAAAGCAUUUUAUAUUUUAUUUGAAAUACCUUUUAGGACAUAUUUUGUAUUUGCAAAAUGCAAAAUACUUUUUGCCAAGUUUCGUAAACAUCAAAGAAUUAAUAUUUAUUGUGAUAAAAAAUAGUACUUUUUUUCUCACUAUGGCAACACUGAAUUGAACUGCUUUCUUGUCAGGCCACAUAUAGUAGUAAUCUGUGCAUGCUACUUAGGUUGCCGAAUGCGUUGAACCGAACGAACGAAUGAUCUCUUUAUACACUUAUAAUUAUAUAUGUAUCAUAUACAAUACUCCUAUAUGAACAGUUCUUAGGGGAGAAAACGUCUCUACGUUACGGUGCAGACAGUAUUCAUUUUCUCUCUCGUUCAAAACACUUUAUCUAUACUGCACAUAUUUGAAAAUUCUCUAAAAUAUCAGUAGUGGAAAAAUAACUAACUGAAGCACUCGGAGGAGAGAGAGAACGAUACACUAUUUGUUUCACUUAGUAGGGAUGGGCAAAUGAAAAAAAUAUAUCGAUAAAUAUCGUAUCGCUAUUUUUAAACAAUAUCGAUUUAUGCAGAAUAAAAAAUAUCGAUAUUUUGAUUUAUCGCCACGUAAAGUAACUUGACGCCAAUAAACUGUCACUUAUGUAUGUACACUACACACACAACCUAAUACACAACUGUAACUGUGGUUGCUACAUAUAGUAAAGCUCGAGCGAUGUGGUCUACCCUUAAACUUACUUGUAUAUUUUAUUAAUUUACUAAUUUUUAGUUAAAAUGGGUGCAACAUUACGACAGUAGGUGGAAUAUAUAAUUAGUAUAAAAUAUUAUGAAGAUCUUGAGUAAAUAUCGAAUUUUAUACUCAAAAAUAAAUAUCUACUAUUGAUACUUCAAGAUAAAAAAAAUCGACGAUAUUUAUGAAUUAUUUUUUGAAAAAAUAUCGAUAGUAUAAUAUAUCGAUAUUUUAUGCCCUAUCACUUAGUCGGAACACCAUCGUCUUAUUAUAUAUAUUAUCAUAACAUAGAAUAUGUGAUAUUCAUUUUGAACCAAUUUGUAGAAACCCCAAUGGCAGGUUCAAAAAAAGUUUCACUGCCUAUUAUACAUUUACCUGGUAAAUACUUACAUUUACUGUGACAAUAAACCUCUUAUGAAUCAUAGCGAAAAGUUAUGCAGAGGAAAAGAAUUGCUAUAUUUGUUUGUAGGUUAGGAAAAAGGUGAAAACGAUAAUUUUUGGGUACAUUUUCAACUCCAAAAAAGCUGAGAGUCAUGUAAUCAAGAUGCUAAAUUGUUUGAAUCAUUGUACAUUUUGGGUAUAGGCAUGACUAAACCAUUUAUGGCAGUUAUAAGCAGGCAAUUUAAAAACAAAGAGAAAUGGAUUGAUGAUUUUAACAUCUGGGGAACAGGCUUCAUGUUUUUAUUCCAUAUUAAUAACUAAAAGGAUUAUUCAUUAAUAUUCAAUAACCAUUUAGAAUCAAUUGCAAGGAGGGAACAAAAAAACUUGUUAAGGUGUACACAAGGAAGCGAUUAUUUCAAGCCCUUGUUGAAGAACCUUGUAAGUAUUAAUUCAAAAAAGCAAUAUUUUUAUAUAUAAUUGUAAUAGUUGUAGUCACAACUAUUGACACUGUCCAUAUAAUAAAUUUGAAUAGAACCCGAAGUCAAAUUUUUUGUUUGUGGAUAUAGUUAUAAAAUGUCAAAAACAAAAUAAAAAAUAUAAUAAUCGUCCUGUGUUUCAAUAUUCCAUCUACAUAUAUCUUAUAUAGACCGUUUAAUUUUGAAAUUUAGAUGGUGGGACCUGGUUGUCACAUAAAUUGUAGACCAAACCAAAAUAUUCCAUUUAAACAGCAUUUUAAUUUCAGGUAUUUAUAUUUUCUUGUAAACAACAAUAUUUGUAUUUGAAUGUUAGCAAAAUGAAAAUAUUUUGCAUAAUACUUUUGUUUCAUUCACAAUAGACAGUCAUGACGUCACAGAGACGGGCGGAGCUUAUACAGACUCCAAACAAUUUUGUUGAUAAUGGUAAAUGCCCAUAAGCAAUUUUUCAUUUAGCGUUUUCGUGGUUUAUGUGAUGAAAUAAGUGAUUAGUUUUUCACCAGGUGAGUUAAUUUAACAUAAUAAUUUUGCUUUAAAACUUGUUAAGUUUAUGUCUAUUUUAUUUUUCUUGUUAAUCUCUGUCAUCUACUAAUAGUCAUGAAUUUUCGAGUAUAAAUAAAUUAAUUUUUAGGUUUUUAAGAUCUAGGACUGCUUCAGAAUGGGUAGGUAUGUGCUUUGUUCCUAACUGUAAACAUUACAGUUCAAAGCAUCCAUGUAAGUUUUUUCGGUUCCCAAAAAACAAGACCGAGAGGAAUAGUUGGAUUUCUCUCAUAAGGUAAAAGAAUGAUAACAUUCACUUUUCAAAGAUUUAUGUUAUAAAUUUAUUUAUUUACAGAAGAAAAGAUUGAGAUCCAAGUGAAUUUGCAAAAGUGUGCGCUUGUCACUUUUUAAAUAAAGAGAAAAGAAUGGACCAACUUUAUUUGAUUUCAAUAUUCAGAAGAAGUUUAAUAUAAAAUCACCAGAAAAAAGAAAGCGAACUGUAAAAAACCUUGUGACGGACCUACUACCAGGUCCUUCAGGUGAGCCACUACCAGGAUAAUUUUGAGUUUUAAAUAUUUUUUAUUGUAGCAAUAUAUUUCCUUAUUUUACUUUUUUUUGUAAAAAGUUUAGAAAUUUUUAUUUAAAAAAUGUAUAUUUAGAUUUUACUUAAUUUAUAAAUGACUUAAUGUAAUAUAAUUAUUGUUAAAAG